rnacentral:rRNA from 1 species
AGUGAACGCUGGCGGUAGGCCUAACACAUGCAAGUCGAACGGCAGCACAGUAAGAGCUUGCUCUUACGGGUGGCGAGUGGCGGACGGGUGAGGAAUACAUCGGAAUCUACUUUUUCGUGGGGGAUAACGUAGGGAAACUUACGCUAAUACCGCAUACGACCUACGGGUGAAAGCAGCGGAUCUUCGGACCUUGCGCGGUCGAAUGAGCCGAUGUCGGAUUAGCUAGUUGGCGGGGUAAAGGCCCACCAAGGCGACGAUCCGUAGCUGGUCUGAGAGGAUGAUCAGCCACACUGGAACUGAGACACGGUCCAGACUCCUACGGGAGGCAGCAGUGGGGAAUAUUGGACAAUGGGCGCAAGCCUGAUCCAGCCAUGCCGCGUGUGUGAAGAAGGCCUUCGGAUUGUAAAGCCCUUUUGUUGGGAAAGAAAAGCAGCAGGUUAAUACCCCGCUGUUCUGACGGUACCCAAAGAAUAAGCACCGGCUAACUUCGUG